rnacentral:rRNA from 1 species
GAUGAACGCUGGCGGCGUGCCUAAUACAUGCAAGUCGAGCGAACAGACGAGGAGCUUGCUCCUUUGACGUUAGCGGCGGACGGGUGAGUAACACGUAGGUAACCUACCUAUAAGACUGGGAUAACUUCGGGAAACCGGAGCUAAUACCGGAUAAUAUUUCGAACCGCAUGGUUCGAUAGUGAAAGAUGGCUUUGCUAUCACUUAUAGAUGGACCUGCGCCGUAUUAGCUAGUUGGUAAGGUAACGGCUUACCAAGGCAACGAUACGUAGCCGACCUGAGAGGGUGGUUGGCCCAACUGGAACCGAGACAAGGUCCAGAAUCCUACGGGGAGCAGCAGGUGGGAAUCUUUCGCAAUGGGCGAAAGGCUGACGGAGCAAAGGCGGGGGAGUGAAGAAGGUCUUCGGAUCGUAAAACUCUGGUAAUAGGGAAGAACCAAAGGGUAAGUAACUGUGCACGUCUUGACGGUAACUAAUCAGGAAGCCACGGCUAACCUCGUG